UGUGGGAGCUGGCUUGCCAGCGAUGGCGGUGGGUCACUCACCAUUAAUGUUGAAGGUGACGGCCUCAUCGCUGGCAAGCCAGCUCCCACA
rnacentral:misc_RNA from 1 species